UACAGAGGUCUCAAGCGUUGUUCGGAUUCAUUGGGCGUAAAGGGCGCGUAGGCGGCCAUCUUUGUCAGGCGUGAAAGCCCCGGGCUCAACCUGGGAACUGCGUCUGGGACGGGGUGGCUAGAGAUCGGGAGAGGAGCGUGGAAUUCCCAGUGUAGAGGUGAAAUGCGUAGAUAUCGGGAGGAACACCAGUGGCGAAGGCGACUUCCUGGCCUGUUCUUGACGCUGAGGCGCGAAAGCUAGGGGAGCAAACGGG
rnacentral:rRNA from 1 species